rnacentral:lncRNA from 1 species
CAAAAUUUCCUUAAAAUUACCAAUUCAGGGGCAGCAACCCAACAACGGGUCGUCUGAUUCAUCUGAAAAUUUCAGGGCAGAUAGAUCUUGACCUGAUAAACAUUAUUACCCCAUGUCAGAUUUGCUCUAAAUGCUUUGGUUUUUGAGUUAUAAGCCAAAAACUGCAUUUGACCCCUAUGUUCUAUUUUUAGCAAUGGCGACCAUGUUUGUUGAUAGAUCAAAACUUCGGAUACAAUUUAUAAAUUAGAUACCCUAAGGAACAUUCAGUUAAAGUUUGAAAGUAUUUGGCCCAGUAGUUUCAGAGGAGAAGAUUCUUGAAAUAGUUUACGACGACAGACGACAGACGACGACAGACGACGACAGACGACGGACGCCAAGUGAUGGCAUAAGCUCACUUGUCCCUUCGGGACAGGUGAGCUAAAAA